GCCCUCUUCGGCUUCCAUCCGCCACCGGUGCACUGCUUUCUGUUGCCCCCUGGUGUCGCCCCGCUUGCAUAUCCAACCAACAGGCUCAGCUCGAUGCUCAGCCUCGGCGCGGUUCGCUAGGAGCCCUCGGUGUCGGUGUUGUCGCUGCCUGUCGUAUUCCCGCGAUCCCCUUCUCCCUGCCGCCAGCUGUUCUGCAUCUUGCGGAGCGCCCGCUUCCUGUGGGGCCCGCAGUGUGAGCAGGUAGAGUGGCCCAACUGCUCGUGCUCAAACUCUUCAGGGAUAGUCCUGCCUGUCCUUCACAGACCUGCCCUCCCAAGGACCCCUUCAGGAUACUCUGCUAUGGAUCAAGGAGCGGCACUUGCUCCCACCCUGGCUCCAGGAAGUUCCCCAAAGUGCUCUGGGCAGUACCUUUAGUCUGAACGGUUGCAGGUCUCCGGGGAGCUUGUGUGCAGGCCAGGUUGAUGUCACCCACCCAGGGUAUCACAGCCAGCAAAAGCCUGUGCUUAAGGAGCCUGCGAUGUAGAGCCUGUCUCUUGCGUCUCUGCUUAUUCUGGUAAGUUCCAUGCCAUAGCUGCCGCAGAUGGGGCCCAGCCGUAUUGUUGCCAGGGUCAGACCCUGAGCGUGAACUAGGGAGGAGUGGCUGCUUCGGUCUUUCCUUCAUCAGUGUGUGACUCUGGGUGGGUGGACGAGUCCUGAUUAACUUCGGCAUUUUCUCUAGGGGCACCUUCAACACAGGCUGUAUAUCAAGAGGAUCUGGUACAGGCCUGCCACUGUGCACGUUUAACGCCCCCUUGUAAGAACACCACUUGCUAUUUGCGAAAAUACUCUGUGGUAAGGCUAAUGUGGCCUUAAAGUAGGGCCUGUCUUAGUGCCCUCUCUAAGACAGAUGCUCUGGCCCAAUGGCAGGCAGUACCAUGGCUGAGCUGACUGCAUUGUCCCUCCAGCAAUCCCCAGUGCAGAGCAGCAGAGCAGCCUGUAUAGUCCAAAAGGCUGCUCCAGCCACUGCCAGAGCUAAUCUGGCUGGCCCCAGGCCCAGCACUGAGGACAGAGGGGGACAGGUCAAUGCACAGCCAGCCAAGUUGGACUGACACUACCCAAGGACACCUCCACGACUCAUGGCAGUUGAGGAUGGGGAACUGCCUACUAUCUAAGUGCCCUUAAGCAGAAAUUCUUACAACCUUUAAAGCAAAUGACUUGGGGACAAUGGAGGCUGCAGCUCCUAUGAAGGCCACUGCUACUGCACAACUCUGAAACCAGUUCUAAGCAACAAUUCUAGUGAAUAAAAGGACAAGGCUUUUGCCAGGUCAGAAACCAAACUGCCACACUGUCCAGAGUGACAGCUAUAGUGACCACUAAGAGCACAGAGCACACACUAUUCCCCUUGCUCACAUUCUAGGGCCUACCUUGCAGGCCGGAUCCUUCAAACUUGCUGAGUGGGUGUCCGAGAAGUGUAGGAACCGGUCUCCUCUUGGAACAGUGCUGUGGGUCUCAUAGGGCACCUGCAGCUGGUUUUUCUCAGCAGCAGAGACGGUGGUAGAACCUUCCUUGUGGUGAUUUUGAGAGGCAUCCUGAGUGCAGCAGGAGACAGCAGGGUGUUGUGGGUAGCACCCUGUCCCUUCUCUCUGUGACUGGCUGGUGAUCAGCCUGGUAGGAACCCACAGGUCAAUGUCUGGCACUCUGUACUGUUGAGGAGUCAGUGCUCUACUCUUCUCCAGAGACGCCUCCAGCUCCACAUCUGAGUUUUCACUGCCGCUGCUGCCGUCGCUGCCACUGCUGCUGCCGUAGUCUUCACUGCUGCUGCUGCUGCUGCCGCUAGAGCUCCACUGGCUACUGUGACGGGGCCUCUGCCCUCUCUUCCUCUGCAGAUGCUGUUUCUUCUGAGGGGAGGAAUAGGCUGCCUCAGGUCUCAGAUACCCAGGCAUAUAGGUAACAGAGAAACAGGACACCCUAUGGAGAAGUUCCUUAAGGAAGAACACCUCCAGGGACAGAGCACACUGGGGCUGAGGCGACCCCUGUGAAAGGUUCAUUCAACAACCUCCCUACCAAGGGCUUGAGACCCACACGGUGAGACCCACACGGUGAGGCCCACACGGUGAGGCCCACACGGUGAGAACCACAUGGUGAGACCCACACGGUGAGACCCACACGGUGAGACCCACACGGUGAGACCCACACGGUGAGAACCACUGCUGUAAGGCGCCUUGUGAAGAAGGGAGAGAAGAGCCGUUGAUUAGUGCAUCUGACUAGGGACUUGCAUUUUGAACAUGUAAAAGCCAGUAAUCCAAAGACAGGUAAUUUAAACCUAGGAAGGGACUUGACAGGUGUUUUUCCAAAGAGAUGUACACAUGUAAGAAGCCAGCAGGUACAAGCAAUUGUACACACGGUUAGCCAUGAGGGGCUGCUGUGAGACAACUGUGUCAAAGUCUAUUCCACAAACACGUGGACGGCUUCAGCCACAAGCCUCACAUGCUGCUUGUGGGAGCACAAUAUAGAGACAUUUUGCACAGAUGACAGUUCUUCCAAAGGCCAAGCACAAGAGUCACCGACCCAAAGACGCUCUUGAGAGAAAUGAGCAUGUCUUGAUAAAUAUUUGACGGAAUGUUCAGAAUGUUCCCACGGCGCCACAUGUAUCACACAGCGCUUAUCAGGACCUUCCCUGCAAAUGCCACACUCCGGCUUUGUACCCCACACUUUCUUUCUGACAAUGAAGGAUGUUCUAUUAACAUUCUUGUCUAAUAUACAAGCUCCUGGGACACUUGGGACAAGGGAGUUUUGCAGGUACAGACUAUACUGCCCCAGCACAAUGCUGUCCCAUGCUCUGGUUUUUCUGGAGGCUAUGAUCUGUGCCCCAGGAAUACUUGUUAGUGUGUGUGUGUGUGUGUGUGUUUUAAAACAAUUCCCCUACAUGUGCGAAAUAUUUCACUGUGGUUUUGAUUUGCAUUCUUGAAAUAAGUGACUGAGCAUCUUUUAAUGGGC